rnacentral:tRNA from 1 species
ACGGAUAUAGUUUAAUUGGUAAAACACAAAGCAACUUUGUUUGUGAGUUCGAUUCUCGCUAUUCGUA